UACGUAGGGGCCGAGCGUUGUCCGGAGUUAUUGGGCGUAAAGCGCGCGCAGGCGGCUUCGCGCGCCCCGACGUGAAAGCCCCCCGGCUUAACCGGGGAGAGUCGUUGGGGACGGCGGGGCUUGAGGGCGGGAGAGGUCGGUGGAAUUCCCGGUGUAGUGGUGAAAUGCGUAGAUAUCUGGAGGAACACCGGUGGCGAAGGCGGCAUCCUGGACCAACACUGACGCUGAGGAGCGAAAGCCAGGGGGAGCAAAACGGG
rnacentral:rRNA from 1 species